rnacentral:rRNA from 1 species
AUUGAACGCUGGCGGCAUGCCUUACACAUGCAAGUCGAACGGCAGCACGGGGGCAACCCUGGUGGCGAGUGGCGAACGGGUGAGUAAUGCAUCGGAACGUGUCCUCUUGUGGGGGAUAACCAGUCGAAAGACUGGCUAAUACCGCAUGAGAUCGAGAGAUGAAAGCGGGGGACCGCAAGGCCUCGCGCGAGAGGAGCGGCCGAUGCCCGAUUAGCUAGUUGGUGGGGUAAGAGCCCACCAAGGCGACGAUCGGUAGCUGGUCUGAGAGGACGACCAGCCACACUGGGACUGAGACACGGCCCAGACUCCUACGGGGGGCAGCAGUGGGGAAUUUUGGACAAUGGGCGAAAGCCUGAUCCAGCCAUUCCGCGUGCAGGAAGAAGGCCUUCGGGUUGUAAACUGCUUUUGUACGGAACGAAACGCGCUGUGCUAAUACCACGGCGUAAUGACGGUACCGUAAGAAUAAGCACCGGCUAACUACGUGCCAGCCGCCGCGGUAA